CUCUGCCAUGCCAAUUAGGAUCAGUUCUGAUUUUUCUUCCUGAGGAGAACACGAGCAUUUGGGACAGAAACCAAGCAGCCUGCCUGACUUCACUGAACAGCCAGGUCCCAAACAGCUGAUGCUGCAUUAUCAGCAAGGACCACAGCUGAUUACUGGCUCAUUAGUUAUCUCUCCUCUGGCCAUUUAGAGCAAAAUGAACAGAAAAUGCUCAUGGUCUCUGAAGAGUUGCUCCUUCCCAAAUUCAAGGCUCGCCUCCAUUUGCUGUCUUCCAACACCUGAGACCAGCAAGAAGAUCCCUUCACAAGAGCCAGCAUGGCGUGCAGCACUGCUUCAGAUUUCUGCUCUUUCCCA
rnacentral:lncRNA from 1 species